UACGUAGGGUGCAAGCGUUAAUCGGAAUUACUGGGCGUAAAGCGUGCGCAGGCGGUCCGUUAAGACAGAUGUGAAAUCCCCGGGCUUAACCUGGGAACUGCAUUUGUGACUGGCGGACUCGAGUAUGGCAGAGGGGGGUAGAAUUCCACGUGUAGCAGUGAAAUGCGUAGAGAUGUGGAGGAAUACCCGAUGGCGAAGGCAGCCCCCUGGGCCAAUACUGACGCUCAUG
rnacentral:rRNA from 1 species